rnacentral:snRNA from 1 species
AUCGCUUCUCAGCCUUUUGGCUAAGAUCAAGUGUAAU